rnacentral:lncRNA from 1 species
AUGCCACCCGUCUCCUGCCUCCGCUGGCCGAAAGGCGGGGUGUUCACAGCCACACUGGUGGUGGAGGCGGAGAGCAGUUCCAGAAUGGUUCCCAAGGUUUUCUCAGAGCCUUUUCCACUGGCCAGCGGGGAGCAGUCCUUGGACUGUGCUCAACUGGCAGAAGCCCACCAGAGAGUCAGAUUGGCCAGCCGGAGCCUCUGUCCAGGACACUCUGCACAGGGCUCAGCUCGUCCCACAGGUGGCGCAGAUCCAGCUCGGUGGUCUCACGCUGAGUCAUCUCCACCUCCACCGUCUCACCUGGGGGUGAUAGAAACUGCAGAGGCCAAGAGCUCCUGGUCAUCUGCACUGGAUGGGCUGCUCAGGAGAGCACAAGUAUGGCCUCUGGCCAGUCAGCUUUGUCAGCAGACUAGGUCAUCUUCAGGGAAGGUGUGGAGACCUGGUUUGGGCAGCUUCAUCGCUAGGAUGGGCAAGGUGAAGACAAAACCAAAUACCUUUCGUCACUCGAUUGCGUGUGCGCUGCCUGUUGUGGCGUCACACAGGGCUGGGGGCAUGGUGCUGGCAGCCUGGCCAGGUGGAGCUCACGCUUCAUGGACUCCGUGGGACUGUAGUUGAGUAGAUACCAAAAAUAGAGUGACAGAUGUAUUUUAAUAGCAGAUGAGGCAGUUAGUUUUAGGGUGAAUUUUCCACUAUUGGUUUUACUUUAAGAUGUAAUAAGAAAAAAAAAUUUGGUUUUUAAAGUGUUUUUAAGCUGCAGUUGUGAACUGUAGUGGGCACAUGCUUCCUUUACUUCCAAAGAGGCAGGGCUGCCGGAGCUGGCUGGCAGCCCGGGCUCCUCCGCACUGGGUGAGGAUGUGCAUGGGCUUCCUGAACAGCAGCCAGCCUCCUCCAGCACAGCUACUGGGGCCACUGGGGCCUGACCUUCUCUUUGGGACCCGGUGGGAGUGAAUGUACUAGGGCCAGAAGGGGCUGGAGGUGGGUGGGAGCGAGUGGCUGUGGGCUCCAUCCAGAUGCUGGCGCCGGCGGGUAGGCGCUGGGUAUGCUUUGCUCAUGACCGCGUGUGUGCGUGGGGUCCCCUCCUUUGUGCUUUCUAAAUUUACACUAAAAGGAUUCAUCAAAUCGUUUGUUCAGAUGGCUCAGGAUUGUAUUUCUUUGCUUACCCUGUGCUCUUGGGUUCUAUAGUAUUUCUAUAAUUAUGUAACGAGAAUAGUGUUGCACUGUAAUCUAUCAUAUAGAGCUCUACGUAUGGACGAUUCUGAUCUGUUUUCUAAGAGAUGUAUCCUGUUUGCAAGGCACGAUAAAGUUGCAUCUUAUAGAUUAUAGGCAAUAAACCCAACUUAACACACA